rnacentral:rRNA from 1 species
UAAGGAAUAUUGCUCAAUGGGAGAAAUCCUGAGGCAGCAACGCCGCGUGGAGGAUGAAGGGUCUAUGACUUGUAAACUCCUGUAAAGAAGGAAAAAAUUCCCAUUUGAUGGGAGAUGAUGGUACUUCUGGAGUAAGCCCCGGCUAACUACGUGCCAGCAGCCGCGGUAAUACGUAGGGGGCAAGCGUUGUCCGGAUUUACUGGGUGUAAAGGGUGCUCAGGCGGAUUUGUAAGUCAGAGGUGAAAUCUUACAGCUUAACUGUGAAACUGCCUUUGAUGCUGCAAGCGUAGGGUAUGGAAGAGAGUGAUGGAAUAUCUUGUGUAGCAGUGAAAUGCGUAGAUAUCAGAUAGAACACCAAUGGCGAAGGCAGUCACGUGGUCCAUUACGGACGCUAAAGCACGAAAGCGUGGGUAGCAAACA